rnacentral:rRNA from 1 species
CCAGACUCCUACGGGAGGCAGCAGUGGGGAAUAUUGCACAAUGGGCGAAAGCCUGACGCAGCGACGCCGCGUGAAGGAUGAAGUAUUUCGGUAUGUAAACUUCUAUCAGCAGGGAAGAAAAUGACGGUACCUGACUAAGAAGCCCCGGCUAACUACGUGCCAGCAGCCGCGGUAAUACGUAGGGGGCAAGCGUUAUCCGGAUUUACUGGGUGUAAAGGGAGCGUAGACGGCGAUGCAAGCCAGAUGUGAAAGCCCGGGGCUCAACCCCGGGACUGCUCUUGGAACUGUGCGGCUGGAGUGCGGGAGGGGCAGGCGGAAUUCCUGGUGUAGCGGUGAAGUGCGUAGAUAUACGGAGGAACACCAGUGGCGAAGGCGGAUUGCUGGACAGUAACUGACGCUGAGGCGCGAAAGCGUGGGGAGCAAACAGGAUUAGAUACCCCAGUAAU